AUUGAACGCUGGCGGCAGGCCUAACACAUGCAAGUCGAGCGCGCGGCGGACGCGUGAGUCAUGUAUGGGGACUGCUCGUUAGAGGGGGAUAACUACUGGAAACGGUGGCUAAUACCGCAUACUCUAGGAUUAUUCAUAUGGGAUUAGCUAGUAGGUAAGGUAAUGGCGUACCUAGGCGACGAUCCCUAGCUGGGCUGAGAGGAUGAUCAGCCACACUGGGACGGAGACACGGCCCAGACGCCUACGGAGGCAGCAGUGGGGAAUAUUGCACAAUGGGCGCAAGCCUGAUGCAGCCAUGCCGCGUGUAUGAAGAAGGCCCUAGGGUUGUAAAGUACUUUCAGUCGGGAGGCGUUACCGACAGAAGAAGCACCGGCUAACUCCGUGCCAGCAGCCGCGGUAAUAC
rnacentral:rRNA from 1 species